AAAGUGAUAUUUUCAGAGAAUAUAUGAUUUGCAAUCAUAAGGAGUAGAUUAAAUUCAUUCUACUCACUUUA
rnacentral:tRNA from 1 species